rnacentral:rRNA from 1 species
GACGAACCGAGCGAACGUUGUUCGGAAUCACUGGGCUUAAAGGGUGCGUAGGCGGGCUGCCAAGUUUGAGGUGAAAUCCUCCGGCUCAACCGGGGAAGUGCCUUGAAUACUGGCGGUCUGGAGGGAGGUAGGGCGUGCGGAACUAACGGUGGAGCGGUGAAAUGCGUUGAUAUCGUUAGGAACUCCGGUGGCGAAGGCGGCACGCUAGACCUCUUCUGACGCUGAGGCACGAAAGCCAGGGGAGCGAACGGG